rnacentral:rRNA from 1 species
CCUACGGGCGGCAGCAGUCGAGAAUCAUUCACAAUGGGGGAAACCCUGAUGGUGCGACGCCGCGUGGGGGAAUGAAGGUCUUCGGAUUGUAAACCCCUGUCAUGUGGGAGCAAAUUAAAAAGAUAGUACCACAAGAGGAAGAGACGGCUAACUCUGUGCCAGCAGCCGCGGUAAUACAGAGGUCUCAAGCGUUGUUCGGAAUCACUGGGCGUAAAGCGUGCGUAGGCUGUUUCGUAAGUCGUGUGUGAAAGGCGCGGGCUCAACCCGCGGACGGCACAUGAUACUGCGAGACUAGAGUAAUGGAGGGGGAACCGGAAUUCUCGGUGUAGCAGUGAAAGGCGUAGAUAUCGAGAGGAACACUCGUGGCGAAGGCGGGUUCCUGGACAUUAACUGACGCUGAGGCACGAAGGCCAGGGGAGCAAACAGGAUUAGAUACCCUUGUAGUC